CAUUUAGUGGCCGAAGAUUGGUUUAAGUCUUUUAAACUUAUUAUAGUAAUAUAUACUCUAAAUGU
rnacentral:tRNA from 1 species